rnacentral:rRNA from 1 species
CACACAGCUCAGUAGCACGUGGCUAACCUGCCCUUGGGACAAGAACAACCCCGGGAAACUGGGGCUAAUUCUCGAUAGGCGAAGAACUCUGGAAUGAGUCUUUACUUAAAAGAGCCUGCGUUAUGCUCGUAGUUUCGCCCAAGGAUGGGGCCGCGACCGAUCAGGUUGUUGGUGAGGUAAUGGCUCACCAAGCCUUUUACCGGUGCGGGCCGUGGGAGCGGGAGCCCGGAGAUGGGCACUGAGACAAGGGCCCAGGCCCUACGGGGCGCAGCAGUCGCGAAAACUUUGCAAUAAGCGAAAGCUUGACAGGGCUAUCCCGAGUGCCAUCCGCUGAGGAAGGCUUUUACCCAGUCUAGAACGCUGGGGGAAUAAGGAGAGGGCAAGUCUGGUGUCAGCCGCCGCGGUAAUACCAGCUCUCCGAGUGGUGUGGAUGUUUAUUGGGCCUAAAGCANCCNUAGCUGGCUAGGUUAAUCCCCUGUUAAAUCCACAGAAUUACUCGAUGGAUUGAGGGGGAUACUGCUUGUCUAGGGGAGGGGAAAGGCACAUGGUUUUUCC